UUUAGUUUGCUUGCAAACUGAAGAUGGCGACCGGCGCACGGGUGAGUAACACGUAUCCAACCUGCCUUACACUCUUGGACAGCCUUCUGAAAGGGAGAUUAAUACAAGAUGGCAUCAUGAGUCCGCAUGUUCACAUGAUUAAAGGUAUUUUCCGGUAGACGAUGGGGAUGCGUUCCAUUAGAUAGUAGGCGGGGUAACGGCCCACCUAGUCAACGAUGGAUAGGGGUUCUGAGAGGAAGGUCCCCACAUUGGAACUGAGACACGGUCCAAACUCC
rnacentral:rRNA from 1 species